UCUCCUGUGACUCCUGCAUUGGCAGGCAGAUUCUUUACCACUGAGCCACCUUGGAGGCUCGAGUAUUAUGUGUGUUAUUGCAGUUGCUGAAGAUCCAAGGACUUAUUUCUCCAGACAUUGCUUAUGGGAGUAUUCCCCAAAUCUUUACAGUAAAGGGAAGGGGUUUUCUGAUAUAAGGUGAAUGAGCUCAGUCAACACACAAUUAAGUUGCAGUCUCACAGCCUAUCUAGACCCUCAUAUGAAGUGGGUCAGUUACCUGUUUCCCAUUUAAUACUCCUCUUGAAAGAGACCAGACCCUGAGAGGGUACUCCUUCAGGUUAUCUAAAUAAGACAUCUAUCAGUGCUUAUGGAGAAGGAAACAGCAACCCAUUCCAGUAUUCUUGCCUGGAGAAUUCCAUGGACAGAGGAACCUGGCAGGCUACAGUCCAUGGGGUCGCAAAGAGUUGGACACGAUUGAGCAACUCACUCACACACACACACACACACACACACACACACACACCAGUCGUUAAGGAUGCUUUCUUCAAAAUAUAACCUUUGGCAUGGAUAAAUACCAUGCAAAGAGCAACAGUAUGGAGCAAGACCAUGCGCAUUACUUAUGCUGACUUCCUUUUGGUGGAUAAACACUUCCACUACUUUUAUGAUGAUGCGGAGUCCCAUACAGUGGACAGUUUUGAUCCUUGGGUAGGGUAGAUCCCUUGUAGAAGGAAAGGGCAACCCACUCUAGUAUUCUUGCCUGGAAAAUUCUAUAGAUAGUGGAGCCUGGUGGGCUACAGUCUAUGGGGUCACAAAGAAUUGGACAUAAUUGAGCACGCACGCACGCAGUGCCUUAGCCUGGCCUGGGCUUCUCAGUUGCCCAUUUCCCAAGCCUUCCACCCUCUUCUUUUCCAAAGUGGGUUGGUGCUAUUUGCCUUGAAAGCGUCAAACCUUGGCUGGUUUGCAACCAGCUGCAAUCCAUCAAAUUUGCUGAUUAGGCGUUUGAAAGGGCAGAGCAUUUUUAACACAAUGAUUGACAAUGGCUUCUAUCUCACACACCUGCUGCUUUAAAAUCCCUAUAAAAUGUCAGCAGGGAGUGUAAGUGAUAUAUAGCAGUAGUGCUGCCUGGGUAGGAAUGUUAAGUACCAGGAGAUGGGAGUGUCUCAACCUCAGCUACUGGAAAGACAACCAAAAAAGAACCCAAUGUAAUCCAUUUGUAAAGAGAGAGCCUAGCAGAGGGGGUUUAGCACUGGCAGUCACAGUUAAGCCCUGACUUUUGGUUACUGUGUGACUACCAUGAGACUGUCCCUGUCCAGGGUGGGGCCAGUACCCUGGGAACAAGAUCAAGCAGCCCCAAAGUCAUUGCUGGCCACUAGGCCAUUUCCCUGUGGGCUAGAAACUGUCCAUUCAAGAUUGAUCCAGGGAUUCUGAGUGCUUUCUCAGUGUCCUGUGUGUAGGACCUGCUCAGUCAAGGGGCUCUGUGAUAGUUUCCUUGUAGGCAGGUUGCCAAACCCAGGUGACCCAAUACUAAAACCAACCUGAGCACAAACUUACCCUUAAGCCCAGUGAUUCUACCCAGGUGGCCAAAAGCAGGAGGAUGGAAAAGAUUCCAGGUGCCUCUGAGAGCAACAGCUGAAGAGUUAGGUACAAAGCGAGGUCACCAAAGUCAGAGGGUAACCCAGGACAAGUUUGCAAAGUGGUCCUCAGUUGGGCAGAGUUCAGAGAGUGGCAGAAGGGGGACCAGCUCUGGUAUAAUUCUCUAGAAGUCAAGAGGCAAGGGAUCCUGAUUCACAUUUUGUCUCUGGAGUAUUGAGAAUGGGCUGAUCUGGGUAGCUACCGAUUGUGAGGAGUGGAUGGGACUUUCAUUGUUAUUUUAGUUAAUAAGUAUCAGGCACUGUGCUAUCUCCUGGAGAUGCUCUUCUUGCCCUCACAGAGCUAACUAGAUAUUAACUGAAUAUUUCUAGUCCAAUCUGAUGAGUGUUGGUGGAAUGGGAACCAGAGCUCCCCUGAAGCUGGCAUCAUCCCAAACAUUUGAAAACCUGUUACUUCACCUGCUUGACAAAUCCCAUCUCCCUACAUGAAAGCUUGUCUUGCCACUUCAAGUAUGCUGGCUUUCAUUGAAUGUGUGCUUUAAUUUUUUAAAGUGCUGUCUUAUUAAUCUCUUCUUUUGCAUGUACUUCUUGUGUUUUGAUUCAGUAAAUCUUCCCCUACCCUGAAGUCAUGAGAUACUUUUAUGUUACCUUCUAAAAGUUUGAGUUUUGCUUUCACUUUUAUAGCUUUACAUCUUCUAAUUUCAUAAAUUUUAAAUAUUUAUUUUUAUCUUUUCUCCCCUCAACAUAGAGAGUCAAUUACCCCAGUAUCAUUUGGGGAUUAAUCCUUCCUGUUUCAUCAACUUAUAAUGAUUAUCUCAUAUUUAUGGUUCUCAUAUAUGUGUAAAUCCAUUUCUAAACACUAUUUUUCUUUAAUCUAUUUCUUUUUUUAAUAAAAUCUAUUUUUAUUAGUAAAUUGCUGAAUAUAUUAAAUAUCUAAGAAAUAAAGAUAAAU